AUGAACGGCAGCUUGGGGAUAGCGCGCGGCCCGGAGCAGCAUCCGCAGCGGUUCACGGAUUACUUCGUGGUGUGCGGCCUGGACAAGGACUCCGGUCUGGAGCCGGACAAAUACUUCGGUGACUCAUUACAGUGCACGCCGCUGGAUCGGGCGUACAAGAGCAAAGUGCUGGGACAUUAUCCAGACUCGGUACCAUGGAAUCCCUUCGACCAGCACGCCGUCUGCAUGCUUUGUCUGCCAAGCGGUUUGCGAUUCCGUACUCAGAAGCACUCGGUGGAGCCGACUUUCCACUCUUUCGUCCUCACGAAGGAAGAUGGUCACAGAACGUACGGAUUCAGCCUUGUUUUCUACGAAGAGUGUCGCAAUCGCAAGAUAUGCGCGGCCAUGCAAACGCUGCAGGCGAUGCACAUCACGGAGCUCAGCAGCGGCCAAAACGGCACGCCUCCCACCGCGAGGAAGGGUCAGGAUGGACAUAAUACAAGGUCGCUGCCGCGCCACUUCAAAUUGUCGGCCCAUUCACCCGGUGCCGCGUUAGGAUACUAUGACUCUACCAAAGACAAGUUGCUAGUGACCAAAUCGAUAUCCUUGCUGUGCCAGCAGCCUUACCUCCACGCGGCGAGGACGUUCCUUACUAAUCUCUAUAAGUGUGUUCCUCGACAUCCCGGACCUGGUCUUAGCUUAGAAUCCUACGUGUAUAGCCUCCUGUAUAACGUGCCGGUACCGUUGUCAGGCAAGUCGCUAAAAUUCUUCGUGCCCGAUGAUGAACCGGCGAAGCCGCCGCUGGAACUGGUGAUCCAUCAGCCGUCCCCCUCGUUGGAGUUACCGAUGCUGGAUUACUCGCUUAAGGACGUGUUCACGUGGCUAGGCGCGGACUGCCUGAUCCAAUUGUUCACGUGCGUGUUGCUGGAGAAUCAGGUGCUGCUCAGGAGCGCCGACUUUCACAAGCUCAUGGUGGUGUCCGAGUGUAUAACCGCACUCCUGUUCCCUUUCUCGUGGCAACAUGUCUACGUGCCGAUAUUACCCGCGAGUCUGCACCAUUUUCUCGACGCGCCCGUGCCCUUCAUAAUGGGCUUGCAUGCGCACAGUGAGGGUGGCGUCCUCAAGAUCGCCAGCGAGGCAAACCUCUGUUAUGUAGAUAUAGACAAGCAAAGUAGCCAAUUUCCGGAGGAAUUACCCGUGUUUCCUCAUAAAAUGCAAUUUAUCGCGGAGAUUAGAGCGCUCCUAAACAAGUACAAAGUACCACAUUCAGGAAAGACUGACAACAUGGUAAUAAAUUAUUUCAACGGCGACAUCAUGACCAGUAGCCUGACACUUCCCGGUUCCGGUUUCCACCUGCCCCGUAGAAAACACUCCCUGCAUGACGUCCUCGAUUGGGAUCGACCAGAAUCGAGCCCGCAAUCGGACAAUCUGCAGAGGAUAGUGGACAUUGUUAAGAGAUCAGUGAACGUAGAUGACACCGAUUCCGUGGAGGAUAUCACGAAGGAGAAGAUACUCACGCCCCAGGAAGAAUACCGGGAGACUCUCGUUUUCAAUAAUGCCGUGCGAGAGAUCUUCCUCAAUCGUUUUGUACAAAUGUUUUCCACUUACGAGCAUUUCGUCAUUCAGCCGAGUCAGGAUAAGGAUGAAUGGAUAACUAAUCGGGACAGCAUGCACGUGUUCGACAAAGCCACGUUUCUAUCCGACCAGCCUACGCAGCAUCUGCCAUUCCUGUCACGGUUCCUUGAGACGCAGAUGUUUGCCUCCCUUGUUGAUAGCAAGGUGAUGUCCACGUGGAGCGAACUCGACUGCAAUAUUAAAGUCUUCGAUCAAAGGAUCUCCGCACUCAAGAAGAGAGUCGGAGAGAGCAUCAUACGUUCAAUGCGAUAUGAGCCUUGCACGAGCAUCGCGGAGACUCAACAAGUGCUCGAGCAGAGAUUGACGAAUAUCGACUUCGAAACGAAUCCGCCUACGGAGAUGUUACCUCACCGAGCUGCGUAUUUCCGGAGUUUCCCUCUGCUAGAUAGCGUCGCGUUAAACAAGGAACCUGCUCAAAGUAUACUUCGCAGUAGGAGAGGACAGACGCAGUGGAAGUACAAGAUGAAGUCCAUGGACGCGAACGGGAAGCCCGUGACGCCUCAGGAAUCUCAGUCGCCACGACCACAGACCAAACUCUCGGCAGACAUGAGUCCCGCUUUGAUCGCGCAAGCGAAUUGGACGUUCGUGGAGAAGUUGCUCAAGGAUUGCAAAUCCAAAACAAAGAGGAUGCUGGUGGAGAAGAUGGGAUCGGAGGCUGUUGCGCUCGGCCACGGUGGCGAGUCGUUGUCCGACGUCGAGGAGAAUACUCUGGUCGCCAGCCUCUGCGACCUGCUGGAACGCGUGUGGAGUCACGGACUGCAGAACAAACAGGGCAAGAGCGCGCUCUGGUCACAUCUGACCAUGUACCACGAGACGGAGGAGUGUAACGACGCGACCAAGUCCAUUGAUCCCAACUUCCUUUCCCCUGCUAAGAAAUCGCCGAGUAAGUUUUUCGGCAUACCGGAUCGUUUGGUCUCGUCUCUGAGAGGCAAAAGUAUUUUUGAGAUUGCUUCUUACAUCAAGGACAAUUUUAAUGAUUUGUCGAAUUUACAAUUGGAGACGGACGUCUCGCCCACGAGAGGCACGGAUAAGCAUAAAUCUCCCGGCGAAAGAAAAACCGUCGGUCCGGAACACCUGAGGCCACUGCCGGAUUCUCUGAUCUUCGAUAUACGUAACGUUCAAGCGAUGACCGACAUCAAAACGCACAUUGGGUACGCGCGGGCGUGGGUACGACUGGCGCUCGAGAAGAAGUUGCUGUCGCGCCACUUGAAAACGUUAUUAUCAGACACCGCUCUAUUGAGGAGUCAGUACAAACGAUCGGCGUUUUUACGUUGCGAGGAGGAGAAGGAGCAAUUCCUGUAUCACCUUCUAACUCUCAAUGCCGUCGACUAUUUCUGCUUCACGAACAACUACCCCACGACAAAGUUGCCAUAUCGAGUCGUAAUAUUUCCCAGCCGGAAGGCAAGCGCUGCCACGACUUCGGCCAACAGUUGGAUCGCUAUCUCCGGCACGCUUUGCGAGACUAAUCCGGUACCAAUACCGAAGGGAGCACUCGAAUUCGUGUUUCACCAUAAGAACCUAGGCGUACUGUCCACAUUACGAAUUGGACACGACAAUACUGGCCUGUCGCCAAAGUGGAUGGUGGAGCACGUCGUAGUGAGGAACGAAGUAACCGGGCACACGUUCAAGUUUCCCUGCGGUCGUUGGCUCGGCAGAGGGAUCGACGACGAGUCCACCGAGCGAUUGUUGGUGGGUGCUCUGGUACCACGAAGUAUCGACAGCGAGGAGCUGGUGGAAUCGUGUUCUACGCCGCCCAGAUGCAGAUCACCGAGCAUACCCAGACGUCCCAUACUGUCGCAAGUCGAAUUGCAACACAUGCUCGGUGAGGCUGUGAACGCCAUAGUCAAGUACCACUACAGGAGAGAGUGUCAAGAUGGUUCCUUGACGGCUCUGCUGUGCGGGGAGGGCGGUCUCGUGCCAUCCUUGGAACAGAUAUUCUUAUUCGGCUUCAAGAACCAGAGGAUAUUCGGCAGGAACUUCUACGUGUGGGAUUACCUUUUGCGGGUAAAAGAGAACUUUGAGAUUUCUCUGUUGGAGGAAAUGGACGAGUACUCUCAGAGGCUCAACCGGGAUAGAAGAGUGUACACGCAGAGCAGCCAAAGAUUCACGAUCCUGCGAUGCUACUGCCACCUCAUCGAUCAGAUCAACAUGUUCAGUCAGACUCUAGGGAAAGACGGCAAAUUCCAGCUGUUCAUCUGUCUAGCAACGAGAGAGCAGCUCCUGCACCCGAUGCUGCGACCGAUGAGCGACGCGCGCUCCACGACGGACAUGUACGACGAGAACUCGUUCCUGCGGAACCCCACGUUGCUCACCUUCCUCAUCCACAUCCUCGAGCCGCUCAGUGAGUUCCACAUCGUCCUAGAGAAGAGCCUCACUCACGGAAUCUCCAGUAUAUGUUAGUACUUGCCGAGGCGUACCGACGUACGCUAAUCCGUCGCGGACACCGCGACGCGUUUCUUUUGACAAGCGUUGCGAAUAAUCGUGAUAUACACCUUCUGGUCUUUGAGACGCAACGUGAGACCUUCCAUGAUACUUUCGACGUGCGGCGUGCCCGCGAUUACAACGUUUUUAAUUAGUGACAAAUUACAAGACGAUCAGGUUUCAACAGAAGAAACAUACUCGUGUAUUAAUUGGCGGGCGAAUCGAUUAGUUCUAGAUAACGAAAUCUUGAUUGUUAUUACGUAAGGACGAUAAUGACCUUGGCAAGUUUGGCCGUUACGGGAGAGAUUAAAGAAGUUUAUUAUUAAAACUGAAGACUGUUACACGGGGAACGUAGCUGUAUAAUAGACGGGCAAGUUUAUAGACGACAAAUAACGUGACGUAAAGAGAGAGAGAUUGACGCGAGAUUUCGGACGCGACGUUGAACGAGAGGAGGACGUGAAUCUUGUCUCGAAUCUCGUCCCGUUCAGAGGCUUACAGAUAUUACCACGGUAACGUAAGAUAUUAAUAGAAGGAUUGGGAAUACGUUUGGCUCUACGUGUUGCCAUAACUACUCCGCGGGACUAACUACGGAGGAAACGACGCGACGUUUCGUUGGGAUAUCGAUACCUGUGACAAAUCGUGUACCAAAGAUGUGAUCCCAUUUUUAUUCAUUAACGUUUUUUGUAUCGUCAUUACUGUUAGGAGUUAAGUUUUCUCUCUGCGCUGCUGACAUUCUCGUGUAUCCCGACGUAUCCCGAGGCAUGCAUUUCAUCUCUCGCGAAAUCACUUUUAUAUAUAUGUAUGUACAUGUAUAUGUACGGACUGAUGGUGCUUCUUGAUGCUCGCAUCCAGAGUUAUCGAAAUUCCCACACGGACGGAAAUCAUUACGCGACAUCCGCAUGCAAUCUAACCGGUCUGAUGAUCCAGGCGAAGAGUGAUACAUAUUACUGAUCAAAGGGAACGGAGAAUGAUCAUUAUACUCUUUUUUUUUUCAAUGGCUGUGCUUCGAUACUCGCGCACGAUGAGAUCGAGUAGGACUUGCCUUGGCCGUGAGCGUUGACAUGACAAUUUUAUAUUAGAUGUAUUAUCGUUGCUGAAAACCUUGGUGUACGUGUGUCCAAUUACGUGCAAUGUACGCACGCGCGUUUUAUGAUUUUAACAAAACGAUUAGUUUUAUGUUCACUUUCGCGCGUGAAUGUUCCGCGGAACAUUUUCUGUCCGAUCGAUCAUUCGCGAGAGUUGCUGUUUAUCAAGUAUCUUGGGCGAGAUCGUCAUCGUUUUAAGAUUCCAGCCCGUCGUGCCGCUUUCGAAUGAUCUUGAGGAAAACGCGCAAACGUUACUUGGAAGAGAGAGACCCGUAGCCGAGAGAUUACGUACUUGUGAUCGUUUUAGACUGAAGCAUGAAUAUCCGUGUUAUUAUACUUUCGCGUGAGUGGACAGUUGUGUUAGUUCCCUUGUGAGUGGAUCUCGCGGCUGCGUUUUGCGCGAUGUCACGAAGUUUGAAGCGAAGCCGGUUUAGAAAUGCGCAUAAAAACGUGAUACAUGUUUCAAUACCGAUCGCGCGUUUCUUCUUUGCGUUACACGUAUGUUGUACGAUGUAUAGCUGGUUUGCGAGGAGUACAAAAUUAUAAAAUGUGUAAGAGAUAAUGUGACAAUUAUUAAUCGGCGCCGAUUCUCAAUCAUACACUGUCAUACGUAGCCUGUAAUUCUCAGAUAGAUUCGUUCCUCAUCGCGAGAACGUCGCCCUUAUUGUACAUACGUACGAAUUAUAUACAUUAAAAGCUUCAUACGGGGCACCGUACGACAACUUUUACAUAACAUUCAUCAUGUAAGGUAUAUUAUAUUGUAUAUAUUGUGUAAGACGUAUCGUUGUACAGUAGAAUAAAUCGUCGUCGAAGAGAAUG
rnacentral:misc_RNA from 1 species